rnacentral:rRNA from 1 species
UGGGGAAUUUUGGACGAAUUGGGCGAAAGCCUGAUCCAGCAAUGCCGCGUGUGUGAAGAAGGCCUUCGGGUUGUAAAGCACUUUUGUCCGGAAAGAAAUCCUUGGCUCUAAUACAGUCGGGGGAUGACGGUACCGGAAGAAUAAGCACCGGCUAACUACGUGCCAGCAGCCGCGGUAAUACGUAGGGUGCAAGCGUUAAUCGGAAUUACUGGGCGUAAAGCGUGCGCAGGCGGUUUGCUAAGACCGAUGUGAAAUCCCCGGGCUCAACCUGGGGACUGCAUUGGUGACUGGCAGGCUAGAGUAUGGCAGAGGGGGGUAGAAUUCCACGUGUAGCAGUGAAAUGCGUAGAGAUGUGGAGGAAUACCGAUGGCGAAGGCAGCCCCCUGGGCCAAGUACUGACGCUCAUGCACGAAAGCGUGGGGAGCAAA